UUUUAAUUUUGUCAAUGAGGUUUUAAAUUGCCGCGGUAUUUUGACCGUGCAAAGGUAGCAUAAUAAUUAGUUUUUUAAUUGAGAGCUGGAAUGAAUGAUUGGACGAGAUAGUAGCUGUCUCUAUAAAAUUUAUAUUUAAAUUUAACUUUUGAGUUAAAAGGCUCAAAUAUUUUUUAAAGACGAGAAGACCCUAUAGAGUUUAACAGUUUUAUAAUUGGUUAGGAGUAUUGGAAUAUAGAAUCUUUUAAUUUGAUGACUGUUUAGUUGGGGUGACUUGAAGAAAAGAUUAACUCUUCUAAGAUUAUAAUCAUUGAUUUGUGAAUUUUGAAUCUAGGUUUACUAAAUAUAAGAUAAAUUACCUUAGGGAUAACAGCGUAAUUUCUUUUUAGAGUUCUUAUUGGGAAAGAAGAUUGCGACCUCGAUGUUGGAUUAAAAUUAAUGUCUGGUGUAGCAGCUGGAUUAUUAGGUCUGUUCGACCUUU
rnacentral:rRNA from 1 species